ACCAUCUGUUUAAAAACUAUGUAAAAACUUGCCAAUAUAAAAUUUCUAUGUAGUAAAAUUGAAAGUAAAAGGGUUGGUAGGUAGUUGUACUAUACAGAUAUAGGUAGUAAAAAUAGAAAGAUGAGUGAUAAAAUUAGGAAAAUAUGUCAGUAUGAAGAUUAGAAGAAAAGAGUCGAAUAGAAGGUAUGCAGUAGAUUGUACUCGUAUAAUGAAAAAGAGAGUUUUAUGGAUCAUAGAUCAGCAGGGAUGCAGGGUACAUUAGGUAUAAUUUGUAGUGUUCUAAAAUAAUAUUCUUUGUGUAUAAGAUGUAUAACACUAGCACGAAGUCAUUUAUAUGUGGAUGAAUGUAUGUAUAAAUCAGGGAUUUGAACCGAAUUGAAAAUAAACAGUUCUGGAAGCCAAAAACUCUUAAAAUAUUGGGAACCAGAACAGAAU